ensembl:lncRNA
UGUCUCUAACUGACCAGUAUCUAUCUAUCCUACUGUCUCUAACUGACCAGUAUCUAUCUAUCCUACUGUCUCUAACUGACCUAUAUCUAUCUAUCCUACUGUCUCUAACUGACCAGUAUCUAUCUGUCCUACUGUCUCUAACUGACCAGUAUCUAUCUGUCUUGAUGUUUCUAACAGCUGAAUACCAACAGCGUUUCAGCCACAUUGUAAAUACACCUUAAAUCGCUAACCAAUUUAAUGUACAACUCAUACUGAGUUUAUAUCUAAUUUAAGUGAUCACUGAAGUAAAAGAAAAUUUAAGCUCUUUUUCAAUCAGGCAUAAACCUUAGGUACCCCCUGAAGGACAUGAGGGACCCUUGUUUAAAACAGAUCCAAAAUGGCUGCCAUCUCUCACUGUAGCCCAGUUUCCCUGGUGAUGUCUUCUGUGGCUGUUGUCUAAGUGAAACUGUUUAUGUUUAUUUUUUAUAUAUAACGUGAAUGUUUGAAAGUGCACAUACUGGUCAUAUUUAUACAACAACAGCCCCUGUGUGAAAAGCGACAACAAACUAACCAAAAAGGAUUCAAUAGAUUAACAAAAUGUUGUUUAUGUAAUAAUAUAAUUUGAUGAAGGACAGUUACUGCCUUACUUUACACUCCUCUCUGGCUUAAAAGGCUUUUAUCCUCAUGCCAAAAGGAUUUCUGUGUUGGUUUUUUUCUACAUUUCUUAACACCGUGUAAUCAUGUUUUGGUUUCGAGCGUCUCAAAUGGUGCCCUGUUCCCUGUGUAGUGCACUACUUCCUAUUGACACUGGUCUAAAGUAGUGCACUACUUCCUAUUGACACUGGUCUAAAGUAGUGCACUACUUCCUAUUGACACUGGUCUAAAGUAGUGCACUACGUCUUAUUGACACUCUAGUCUAAAGUAGUGCACUACUUCUGAUCAAAGCCGUUGACACUCUGGUCUAAAGUAGUGCCCUACGUCUUAUUGACACUCUGGUCUAAAGUAGUGCACUACGUCUUAUUGACACUCUGGUCUGAAGUAGUGCACUACGUCUUAUUGACACUCUGGUCUGAAAUAGUGCACUACUUCUGAUCAAAGCCAUUGACACUCUGGUCUAAAGUAGUGCCCUACCUCUUAUUGACACUCUGGUCUAAAGUAGUGCCCUACGUCUUAUUGACACUCUGGUCUGAAGUAGUGCCCUACUUCUUAAAGCCAUUGACACUCUGGUCUAAAGUAGUGCCCUACUUCUGAUAUUGACACUCUGGUCUAAAGUAGUGUACUGUAUAGGGAAUAGGGCCCUGGUCUAAAGUAGUGCACUACAUAGGGAAUAGGGCUCUUGUCUAAAGUAGGGCACUACAUAGGGGAAUAGGGGAUAGGGUGCCAUUUGAGACGUUCCCCCAAAGAGCAGAUGAAAUGUAAACCUGUUUGUUUGUUUGUUUGUUUGUUUGAGGAAACACUAAUAAAUUCCCGGAGGGACAUGUCGUUCCAGGCGUCAUCACAGACUGAAUUAAAAGAUGGGGGAAGUUCCAUGUUUAUUAUUGUCCUUCGUCAUUAUUAUCAUCAUGAAAUCAUCUCCCAUGAGGAAGUGCUGAGUGCCACGGUAUGUACCGUGUCGAGUGAAA